UACGGAGGUCCCGAGCGUUGUUCGGAAUUACUGGGCGUAAAGGGAGCGCAGGCGGACAGGUCAGUCUAAAGUGAAAUCCGGGGCUCAACCUCGGACUUGCUUCGGAUACUGCCUGUCUUGAGUUCGUGAGAGGAAGAUGGAAUUCAGGGUGUAGCGGUGAAAUGCUCAGAUAUCCUGAGGAACACCAGUGGCGAAAGCGGUCUUCUGGCACGAAACUGACGCUGAGGCUCGAAAGCGUGGGGAGCGAACGGG
rnacentral:rRNA from 1 species